rnacentral:rRNA from 1 species
UACGAAGGGGGCGAGCGUUGUUCGGAAUUACUGGGCGUAAAGGGCGCGUAGGCGGCCCUCUUUGUCGCGUGUGAAAGCCCCGGGCUCAACCUGGGAACGGCGCGCGAAACGGGGGGGCUGGAGUUCGGGAGAGGAGCGUGGAAUUCCCAGUGUAGAGGUGAAAUUCGUAGAUAUUGGGAAGAACACCGGGUGGCGAAGGCGGCGCUCUGGACCGAGACUGACGCUGAGGC